rnacentral:lncRNA from 1 species
GCAACCGUCGAGCCAUGCGACGUUAAACGAAGCGCUUCGUGGGAGGCAACCCACGUGUUCGAUUGUUAACUUAUUUUGUUUUUGUUUCUUUCUUUUCUUUUCUGUAUGGGUAUGAAACGUUGUUGCAGGUAAGGAGUAGACUUGGAGAGUAUAGUCAUGAUCACUUCUCAGCGAGAGGAUGCCAGACCAAAGAAGCAUUGCCGAAUUCAGAAAUUGAGGAAAA